GGCAAAUCAACUAAAAAUUUUUCAAAGUACAGUAAUAUUAGAAUCGACUCUAAAAUUGUGGGUCUCAAGUUCAAACUUCAGUUGAAGUUCAGGCAGAACACACACACACACACACAGGAUUCAACUAUAGGACUCAGCAUCUUGGUAAAACCAUGACAAUUUUACUGAGACCCCUCAUCCCAUAUGAACCAUACCUCCACACACUCCAUAAUUAAAUUCGCAUAUAAUACUCUAAAAUUAGUCAAAAGGAAUCAUGUGUUGCAUGUUGCCUUUGCAAUGGUGAGUAGGAUUCUUUGGUCCAUGUGAAAAGGGAUGGCUAAAUCCAUAGCCAUGGAGAAAAUUAUGCAUGUGAAGGAAAGAAAAAAGGGGGGAAAAAUAAGUGCUAGUUGCAAAAGAGUAGGCAUUUUUCCUUUAGUACAAAUGUAGUUGUAGGAGACCCACCAAGCUCAUCUAGUCGGUGAUUGUUUUUAGGUGUUUGCAUGGGAAGAUGACUCAGUUAUUUUCCUUUUGAGCUGCUUACCAAUCAAUAUAUGUUCUUUUUUAUCAAAUUAGGGUCCCAUUUCUGAUGUGAAAUUAACUAGACACAAGUAGAUUCAUUAGGAUUGGGAGAGAAGCUUUUUUUUUUUUCUUACUAGUGGAGGACAAAUAAAACAAUUCAUAUAAAGUUUUGGGCAAAUUACUUUUUUGUAAUUGAGUUAUGUCAAAAUUAUUAUCUAUGCCUCAGUUUUUAAAAUUCAAUGAUUUAGUUUCUAUAUUUUAACUCCAUCAGACUGAAGUCUCUUUGUCAUUUUUAAAAAUAGUAUAUUCUUUUUCUGGUUUAAUAGAGUUAAAAUAUAUGGAUUAAACUAUUUAUUUUUGAAAAGUUGGGGAACAUAUGUGAUAAUUUUAACAUAAUCUAAGGAUGAAAAUAUAGUUUAACUUUAAGGGCAUUUUGGUCAUUUUACAGAAAAUUAAUGAAUAAUUGAAUGAAAGGAUCUUCAGUUUGAUGGAGUUAAAAUGCAAGAAUCCAUUUGCAUGAUUGAAUUUCUUUUUGUUUCCUCAUUGUCUUUAUGUGUUUCCAAAGCCCAAAUGCAAGCUCUCCCUUGCAUAUGAUCUCUCAUCUGUCUCUUUUGAUACAUUUAUUAAGCAUCUUGAUCUUUUCAUUCUCAUAUCAUUAUCUUUCUUUUAAUGCAAUUUAAUUCAUUCAUAAAAGGCUCUUGAAAUUCUUUGUACAGGGACAAUAAUGUGGGGAUUUCCAAUCCAGGAUUCAAUGGUGACGGGACCAGCACCGCCAGCGCCACCAACACGGGUAGUGCGGGGUCCUCCAGUGGUGAUGACGAUGGUAACUUUUUCGGAAUGAUAUUCGGGAGCGGCGCUUCACCACCCCCACCACCCACUUCUGUUAGCUCAAUAUUUUUGUCUCUUUUAAUUAUUUUAAUUUUGUACGCUUGUAUGGUUACCAACCAUGGUGCCAUAUUAUCAUUUCUAUUAUCAUUAUAGAAGUUGAAAUUGAAACAUUCAUCAAAUUAAGGUGUAAAUGGUGGAGAAAAGGGGAAAAAAAUUUCUAAGUAGUUUGGUGACAUUGUUCAUCCAAUUAUUGCAAUUGUAUAGCUUGAAAACAAGUACAAUGUCCAUUUUGUAGGAAAUUUUUAUAGGUCUUCAUUGAAUUUCAUUGAAUUUUAUCAUGUAUUUCACUUUUAUCACUCAAUUUAUUUUAUUAUUAAAAGUCUCUAAAAA
rnacentral:misc_RNA from 1 species